CAGCUUGCUGGGUGGAUCAGUGGCGAACGGGUGAGUAACACGUGAGCAACCUGCCCCUGACUCUGGGAUAAGCGCUGGAAACGGCGUCUAAUACUGGAUAUGAAUCAUGGCCGCAUGGUCUGUGGUUGGAAAGAUUUUUCGGUUGGGGAUGGGCUCGCGGCCUAUCAGCUUGUUGGUGAGGUAAUGGCUCACCAAGGCGUCGACGGGUAGCCGGCCUGAGAGGGUGACCGGCCACACUGGGACUGAGACACGGCCCAGACUCCUACGGGAGGCAGCAGUGGGGAAUAUUGCACAAUGGGCGCAAGCCUGAUGCAGCAACGCCGCGUGAGGGAUGACGGCCUUCGGGUUGUAAACCUCUUUUGGCAAGGAAGAAGCCUUCGGGUGACGGUACUUGCAGAAAAAGCGCCGGCUAACUACGUGCCAGCAGCCGCGGUAAUACGUAGGGCGCAAGCGUUAUCCGGAAUUAUUGGGCGUAAAGAGCUCGUAGGCGGUUUGUCGCGUCUGCUGUGAAAUCCCGAGGCUCAACCUCGGGCCUGCAGUGGGUACGGGCAGACUAGAGUGCGGUAGGGGAGAUUGGAAUUCCUGGUGUAGCGGUGGAAUGCGCAGAUAUCAGGAGGAACACCGAUGGCGAAGGCAGAUCUCUGGGCCGUAACUGACGCUGAGGAGCGAAAGGGUGGGGAGCAAACAGGCUUAGAUACCC
rnacentral:rRNA from 1 species